rnacentral:rRNA from 1 species
GACGAACGCUGGCGGCGUGCUUAACACAUGCAAGUCGAACGGAAAGGCCCUGCUUUUGUGGGGUGCUCGAGUGGCGAACGGGUGAGUAACACGUGAGUAACCUGCCCUUGACUUUGGGAUAACUUCAGGAAACUGGGGCUAAUACCGGAUAGGAGCUCCUGCUGCAUGGUGGGGGUUGGAAAGUUUCGGCGGUUGGGGAUGGACUCGCGGCUUAUCAGCUUGUUGGUGGGGUAGUGGCUUACCAAGGCUUUGACGGGUAGCCGGCCUGAGAGGGUGACCGGCCACAUUGGGACUGAGAUACGGCCCAGACUCCUACGGGAGGCAGCAGUGGGGAAUAUUACACAAUGGGCGGAAGCCUGAUGCAGCAACGCCGCGUGCGGGAUGACGGCCUUCGGGUUGUAAACCGCUUUCGCCUGUGAUGAAGCGUGAGUGACGGUAAUGGGUAAAGAAGCACCGGCUAACUACGUG